rnacentral:rRNA from 1 species
UUAAUUGAAGAGUUUGAUCAUGGCUCAGAUUGAACGCUGGCGGCAGGCCUAACACAUGCAAGUCGAGCGGUAACAGAGAGGUGCUUGCACCUUUGCUGACGAGCGGCGGACGGGUGAGUAAUGCUUGGGAACAUGCCUUGAGGUGGGGGACAACAGUUGGAAACGACUGCUAAUACCGCAUAAUGUCUACGGACCAAAGGGGGCUUCGGCUCUCGCCUUUAGAUUGGCCCAAGUGGGAUUAGCUAGUUGGUGAGGUAAUGGCUCACCAAGGCAACGAUCCCUAGCUGGUUUGAGAGGAUGAUCAGCCACACUGGGACUGAGACACGGCCCAGACUCCUACGGGAGGCAGCAGUGGGGAAUAUUGCACAAUGGGCGCAAGCCUGAUGCAGCCAUGCCGCGUGUGUGAAGAAGGCCUUCGGGUUGUAAAGCACUUUCAGUCAGGAGGAAAGGUUAGUAGUUAAUACCUGCUAGCUGUGACGUUACUGACAGAAGAAGCACCGGCUAACUCCGUGCCAGCAGCCGCGGUAAUACGGAGGGUGCGAGCGUUAAUCGGAAUUACUGGGCG